rnacentral:lncRNA from 1 species
ACUUCUAAGAAAAAAAUGAGGUCCCUAAUGGCCUCUGCUUCUCUCACUCUUGCAUUAGCCAUCCUCUUUUUGAGUUUCCCAUCUGAAAUUUCAGCAAACAAAUACGCAUAUUCCUCUCCACCACCACCACAUUACUCAUCUCCUCCACCUCCACCGGUUCACACUUACCCUAAACCAGUCUACCACUCUCCACCACCACCAGUUCACACCUACCCUAAACCAGUUUACCACUCUCCACCACCACCAGUUCACAAGUACCCUCACCCUAAACCAGUAUACCACUCUCCACCACCCCCAGUUCACAAGUACCCUCAUCCACACCCAGUCUACCAUUCUCCACCACCCCCAGUUCACAAGUACCCCCAUCCUCACCCAGUGUACCACUCUCCCCCACCACCACCACCAAAGAAGUCCUACAAAUACCCAUCUCCCCCACCACCACCAGUUCACACCUACCCUAAACCAGUCUACCACUCUCCUCCACCCCCAGUUCAUCACACCUACCCUAAACCAGUCUACCACUCUCCUCCACCCCCAGUUCACACCUACCCUCACCCUAAACCAGUCUACCACUCUCCACCACCCCCAGUUCACACUUACCCUAAACCAGUCUACCACUCCCCACCACCACCAGUUCACACCUACGUCCCUCACCCUAAGCCAGUCUACCACUCUCCACCACCACCAGUUCACACCUAUCCCCCACAUGUUCCCCACCCAGUUUACCAUUCUCCUCCUCCUCCAGUUCAUUCCCCACCUCCACCACACUAUUACUACAAAUCACCUCCUCCACCUUACCACAACUAGAUAGCCCAUAAUUGGCAUCACACCAUAUGGUAA